rnacentral:sRNA from 1 species
GCAGCUCGCACUUAAUGACACACGUGCAUCGAUAACCCUGAGCCGGGUGCUGGAUUUUCCAGUUGGUCUCGCGGGAUGUGCGGAGGAAAAAC